rnacentral:rRNA from 1 species
GACAGAGGUGCCGAGCGUUAGGCGGAAUCACUGGGCUUAAAGCGUGUGUAGGCGGAUCGUUAAGUACCUUGUGAAAUCCCUCGGCUUAACCGGGGAACUGCAUCUGAUACUGGAUGGCUUGAGUUUGGGAGAGGGACGCGGAAUUCCAGGUGUAGCGGUGAAAUGCGUAGAUAUCUGGAGGAACACCGGUGGCGAAGGCGGCGUCCUGGACCAACACUGACACUGAGGAGCGAAAGCCAGGGGAGCAAACGGG